GGAAUCUUCCACAAUGGACGAAAGUCUGAUGGAGCAACGCCGCGUGAGUGAAGAAGGUUUUCGGAUCGUAAAACUCUGUUGUAAGGGAAGAACACGUACGAGAGUAACUGCUCGUACCUUGACGGUACCUUAUUAGAAAGCCACGGCUAACUACGUGCCAGCAGCCGCGGUAAUACGUAGGUGGCAAGCGUUGUCCGGAUUUACUGGGCGUAAAGAGCGCGCAGGCGGUCGAUUAAGUCGAGUGUGAAAGCCCCCGGCUCAACUGGGGAGGGUCACUCGAUACUGGUCGACUCGAAGGCAGGAGAGGGAAGUGGAAUUCCCGGUGUAGUGGUGAAAUGCGUAGAUAUCGGGAGGAACACCAGUGGCGAAGGCGACUUCCUGGCCUGUUCUUGACGCUGAGGCGCGAAAGCUAGGGGAGCAAAC
rnacentral:rRNA from 1 species